UCUCUCUCUCUCUCUGCAACUUUAAAGCUGAUGCAAGAAACCACACGGUGUAACUUUAAAUGCGCCGCUCGGAGAGACUGCUGGAAGCGAUCCUGAAUGCUGCUUGCUUCGAGAGAGAGCGAGAGAGUCGAGAGAGAGAAAGCAGCAGCCAGAUGUAAUAGAAAAGACACAACACACAGCCUUGUGCAUGCAGCUCUCAUUCACAAAUCAGACAGGGAAACCUGGGCUUUUAAUGUCUCUUCUGCUCAGAGAUUUGCAGACCCGAUGCUGUUGUACCAAGCCAUGGAGCCAGAAAAUGUUUUCCAGCUAGAGAACUUCAAUGAGUCGCCGCCUGAAAGAACAGGUAGAAGACGCAGCAUGCCUGGGAGUUCCUCCGAUCAGAGUCCCACCAUGGACCAGUCAGCGACCACCCCAUUUCGAGUCACGGGGUUCCUCAGUCGCCGGCUCAAAGGCUCCAUCAAACGGACAAAAAGCCAACCCAAACUCGACCGAAACAGCAGCUUCCGCCACAUUAUCCCUGGCUUCCGAAGCGUGGACAAUGAAAGGUCCCAUCUAAUGCCGAGAUUGAAAGAAUCGCGGUCUCACGAGUCGUUACUGAGUCCCAGCAGUGCCGUUGAUGCUCUUGAUCUCAGCAUGGAGGAGGAAGUGGUCAUCAAACCUGUCCACAGCAGCAUCCUUGGCCAAGACUUCUGUUUUGAGGUAAAUGCUUCAUCGGGGAGCAAAUGUUUUUCCUGUCGUUCCGCAGCAGAGAGAGAUAAAUGGAUGGAGAACCUACGGCGUGCUGUGCACCCUAAUAAGGUACAGGAUGGAAGCGCUGACUCUAGAGACAACAGCAGGAGAGUAGAGAAUAUGCUAAAACUCUGGAUUAUUGAAGCAAAGGACCUUCCGGCCAAAAAGAAAUACCUGUGUGAACUCUACCUAGAUGAUGUACUUUAUGCACGAACUACUUGCAAACUAAAAACUGAUAACGUGUUUUGGGGGGAGCACUUUGAAUUUAAUAACCUUCCCACACUGAAAAGCAUCACCGUCCACUUGUAUAAAGAGACAGACAAGAAGAAAAAGAAAGACAAGAACAAUUACGUGGGACUGGUCAGUAUCCCUAUUGGGGCGGUGACUGGCAGGCAGUUUGUGGAGAAAUGGUACCCCAUCGUCACUCCCAACCCAAGCAAAGGCAAGGCCUCUGGCCCCAUGAUCCGCAUUAAAACACGCUACCAGAGUAUUAGUAUCCUUCCCAUGGAGAUGUACAAAGAGUUUGCGGAGUAUAUCACCAAUAAUUACAUGGUCCUCUGCUCAACACUGGAAGGAAUCCUUAGCGUCAAGAAUAAGGAGGAGAUGGCAUCUGCUCUGGUCCACAUACUUCAAAGCACUGGAAAAGCCAAGGAUUUCCUCACAGACCUAAUGAUGUCUGAAGUAGAUCGCUGUGGCGACAAUGAGCAUCUUAUAUUUCGGGAAAACACCCUCGCCACCAAGGCCAUUGAGGAGUACCUGAAGCUUGUAGGGCAGAAGUACCUGCAGGACGCUCUGGGUGAGUUUAUAAAAGCACUGUAUGAAUCAGAUGAAAACUGUGAGGUCGAUCCCAACAAGUGUUCCACAUCAGAUCUUCCCGAGCACCAGAGCAAUCUCAAAAUGUGCUGUGAGCUAGCAUUCUGCAAAAUCAUCAACUCCUUUUGCGUGUUUCCAAGGGAACUGAAAGAGGUGUUCGCCUCCUGGAGGCAGGAGUGCAACAGCCGAGGGCGCCCCGAUAUCAGCGAACGCCUCAUUAGCGCCUCCCUUUUCCUGCGCUUCCUCUGCCCGGCCAUCAUGUCCCCAUCCUUGUUCAACCUGCUCCAGGAAUACCCGGACGACCGGACGGCGCGAACUCUCACCUUGAUCGCCAAGGUCACCCAGAACCUUGCCAACUUUGCAAAGUUUGGCAGUAAGGAGGAGUACAUGUCGUUCAUGAAUCAGUUUCUGGAGCACGAGUGGACGAACAUGCAGAGAUUCCUCUUGGAGAUUUCCAACCCGGAGACCAUCUCCAACACGGCCGGCUUUGAGGGCUACAUCGACCUGGGACGGGAGCUCUCCACUCUGCACUCUUUAUUGUGGGAUGUCAUUGCACAGAUGGACCAGGUUACAGUCUCCAAACUUGGGCCACUGCCACGUAUUUUAAGGGAUGUAAAUACAGGGUUGAGUAACCCCUCCAGCAUCCAGAGCUCCAUCUCAAGCGAGCACUCGGCGUCAACGCCAAACGCAAGCAACAGCAUAUCAGCCGGCCUACAGAAGAUGGUAAUAGAGAAUGACUUAACGGGUCUAAUAGAUUUCACAAGGUUACCAUCUCCAACUCCUGAAAACAAGGACUUAUUUUUUGUCACAAGGUCUGCUGGGGUUCAGCCCUCGCCAGCAAGAAGUUCCAGCUAUUCGGAAGCCAAUGAGCCGGACAUGCAGAUAACUAAUGGCAGCAAGAGCUUGUCAAUGGUUGACCUCCAGGACAAUCGUGUGUUGGACAUCGGCACCAACACUUCAGGCAUUGGGGAUUCUUUAAAUGACAGUCAGACAUCUUUUAGCCAGCUGCAAGCAAUAUGGACAGCACGGACACCACAGGGCAAUAUAAUGACAAUGACCACAGCUAGAAGAACAGGACAGACCCCGACCACUCCAAACUCAGACACGACACCGAGUAGACCACAGCUAUUGGCACCUUUAUCAUUCCAAAACCCCGUGUACCAAAUGGCAGCAGGUUUGCCAGUUUCACCACGGGGCUUAGGGGACUCUGGAUCAGAGUGUCAUAGCUCCCUCAGUUCCCAUAGUAAUAGCGAGGACUUAGCAGGAAAUAAACAUGGUUUUAUGAACCCUGGGAGCACAGAGGAUUUCAGUAGGCGAUCUGGAGAUAUGUCUAGGUCUGGGGAUAUGUCUAGGAGGCAACAUUCCUUAUGUGAAAAAAUUGGUCAACCUACAAUGCCACGACAGAACAGUUCAGGCCCUCAGAGGCGAAUAGAUCAACCACCUCCUCCACCACCCCCACCAAUGACCAGGGGAAGGACACCCCCAACGUUAUUAAGCACGGCAACAUACCAGAGACCCUCUAGUGGCAGCAUGAUGUCAUCUUCUCCAGACUGGCCAGGCAGUGGUGCCCGUGUGAGGCAACAGUCGUCAUCCUCCAAAGGCGACAGCCCCGAGAUGAAACAGAGGACACUGCAUCAUAAACAGGCCCCCUCACCCGUGAACCCCAAUGCCCUGGACCGCACAGCUGCAUGGCUGUUGAAUAUGAAUAUGCAGCUAUUAGAAGAUGAAAGCCCUGAGCCAGAUAUCAAGCACAGGGACAAACUCAGGAAUAAGGAAGAGCUCAGCCAAGCAGAAAAGUACCAGCAGGAGAUCAUGAUGUUGCAGGAAAAGCUCAGGCUUUCAAACAAGAAGCUAGAAGAGUAUGAGAUCCGUUGCAAGAGCCAGGAUGAACAAACCCAGAAACUGCUGCUGGAAUACCAGGCCAGGCUGGAGGAAAGUGAGGACAGGCUGAGACGGCAGCAGGAGGACAAGGAGAUGCAGAUGAAAGGAAUCAUCAGCAGGUUGAUGUCGGUGGAAGAAGAAUUAAAGAAAGAUCACAUGGAAAUGCAAGCAGCUGUCGACUCUAAGCAGAAGAUUAUUGAUGCACAGGAGAAGCGCAUUGCAUCACUGGACGCCGCAAACGCACGGCUAAUGAGCGCCCUCACUCAGCUCAAAGAGAGUAUGCAUUAGAAAAAAAACCAUCCCCUAUUCUGGAGUUCUAUCCACUUAAAAUUUGAGAAGCACCCUGCUUGGAAAAUUAAAGGCUCCGAAGAAUGUAAACUACUGGAUCUGCCAAGCGUCUAUUUCCCAUUGUCAGGAAGCUGGGCAGGCCCACAAAGCAGGGUGAUAAGAUUUCUGUGUUGGAGCACGCAGAUUCAGCCCAUUGAAAUGAGUUUUGCACUAGGUAACGUUGUCCUACCACUUGGCGCUCAUCAUUUCCCUCCCUAAAUCUUAAGCAAGUCCACUUCCAUUCUGGAACUACUCAAUGGAAGCCACUUGACACAUGGGACGCCAUAUUGUUUUUGUGACCCUGGUGGAUGUGUUGCCUCUUUCUUACUGGCGGUGGUCUCUGGACAUUGUUUGUAGUCUAUUUAUUUAACUCUGAACAGAUAUGGAGUAGGAUAAAAACCAGUCUGUGCUGUUGGUUUACGUCAACUUCCAGCGAUCCAAAUCAGUGAGAUUUGGUGUUUCAGGACCAAAAAUAACUUUGGAAAACAUGCUGCUUUUAGGGAGUAAAAACUCUCUCUAAUAUCAAUUUCAAAAAAAGAGACAUUUUUUGCAAAUUUAUUACCUCUUAAUGUAAUAAUAAUGGAAGAAACGUUGAAUGUUCCGGGUAGACUUAGACGGUCAUUGGUGAAAGAGUCCUAAUUAACGGACACCUAUCAAGGAAUCGAUUGUGCAUUCUAUAUAUCGUCUCCUAGUUCUAUACUUAUUCAAAGCAAUUUAUACGGAAAAGUUCUACCUAUUUUAUGUACUGAAUGACUGGGUAGUUAUAUGUGCAAAUCAGUUGACCCCCAUCAUGCAAAAGCUUAUUAUGUACGGAAAGAAAUUCACAAUAUGAUGAUAUUUUCCUAUAUAAAAAAGAAACUUACUUAAGGCACACGGCUUUUGCUUUUGGCAAUAAAUUUGAGGAAUUUUACUAAAAGCAUGAUAAUCUUACUGCACUUGAACGAAAAUUUGCUUAGAAAUCUUGAUGCAUUAUUGUUGAGAUACAGUGCCUCCAAGCCAGUGGCUAUGAAAACCUUCUCAUUCUCCAAAUUGAAAUAUAUAUAUAUAUAUAUAUAUAUAUGAAUACACACAUAUAUAGAUAUAUAAAUAUAUAUAUACACAUAUAUUUUCUAGUAAAAUUGGUGCUGUGUAAAGUUUACAUUUCGCAUUUCAAUAUUUAAAGGAAUUUCGUCUGUGGAGGAACAUCAGUCAUUUUCACUGUAGCAUAGAAAAAAAACAAAUGUAAAUACGACAAAGAUUUUGCUACAAAAAUGAAGAAAAAUGUGGAAAUGUUGUAUUGUAUGAACUGGAUAUUAUUAAAACAAAACAAAAAAAAUUGGUUAAAGUUUACAACCUUGGAUUCUGAGAAUUAAAAUAAAUUUCUCCCAAUGAGUUUUCAGCGUAUCUUGGAUACCGGCAAUAGAUCUUUGCAGACAAUCACUUUGUGAUGGAGGGUGCUUACAGCUCUCUUUUUUUGGGGGGGGGAGGGUAUUUCUGUGUAAAGAAAAUUAUUUGCCAAUGCUUCAAAAAAAUGUAUAUUUUAAUUUCUUAUAGACACUGCAAGAUGGGCCUGUUGAUUUGCAGACAAGAAACGGUACCAUGAACAAAUGGUUCAGUGGCGUUGGGUGGAGAAGCGUUGAUAAUGUCACCUACCAAGUAGAAACGCUAUGUGCGAUACAGUUAUGGCACUACCACCUGUUGUCUGGCUUAAUAUACUAAUGGUGGUGUUCCUUACGGUUAUCAGACCUACAAUACAAAGAAGGAGCUUGGUGGAGGAGUCUCUGGCAGAUGUUGUCCAAGCAUACUCAAUAACUUGCUUCUACAGAACGUAAAGUAAAUAUUGGCUGUCGGAACUAACAUAUGUUGUUCUGGGUUUUAAGGAAAUUUGAUAGCUGUUAUUAUGAUUAACUAUGUUAUCUAUGUUACCUUCUAAACUUAAACAAUUAUGAACAAGCCAAAAAUAGCUUCUACCAAUUAUAGUAUGUGCCAUCCCUUUAGAGCCCAUUAUCUAGUUCCACUCAGUGGGAGUGACUUGACUAGGUCUACAAACUAUAUAAUUAUACAAAUGGACUUCCUUGUCUCAACCCUUCCAUUGUCUACAAGCCUAAUGCUAAUAUCACGGACAAUGUCAUAACAAUAAUUACCACCAGUUCAUUAGGACCUCUCUGCGGCACUCAGCAGUCAACAGAAGUUCCCCAACAAUUAUUUCUAUGUUGUGGUCUUCAGUCCCACAAAAAAAGAACUCCAUGUUGCUUUGACUACGAGCUGUACUAUCACCACCAUAGACUAUCAUAGACAAUCCAAGGCUGUAGGAAAUACCAAAUGGCAUCUCUACAGGGCAAAUAAUCUUAAUCAUUUUUUUUGAUUAAUUAUAUUCAUAAACUUUAUAAUUUAUCCCCAUGGGAGUAUUUUUCAUUAUCAAGGUUUUUUUUUUUGUGAACAAGUUUAUUAAAAAAAAUUUAAACUCAGCACCUAAGACCCACUAAUUUAUUUUUUUGCGGGAAAAACAAAAAUUUGUAAAUUUGCCCAUGUUCAUCUCGGCAGGUUUCAUGAUGAAAAUUUGGCCUUGAACUGCUGCAAAAUAGCAACUCCAAAAUGAAUACAUUUGCCCUUUAAUGCUACAUACAACAUAUUAUCUAAUCCAUGUUGAUUUGUCCUAUUUUUCAGUGUCAUUUCAAUUCAAAUAAGCACAGAGGAGAUGAAUAAUGUAGCAAAAAAAGAACCUAGUCUAACGCCGGAUUGUAAGGGGUGGAAAUUGCAUAUCAAUCAGGGCAUUUGCUCCUAUAAAUUCUGUAACCCCAGAAGUUGCAGGGUGUGCUUCCUUUAUUGUUGCCCUCUGGCUAAUGGAACUGCAUGGCAAGUUCAUAUAAUAUGUGUGUGUGUUUAUUGCUACUGCGUCUUUCCAUAUACCACAAUUAGUGUAACCUAUAAGGGCUCUAAUUUACAGGCAUCGCUGGUUCUGGAAAGCCUGAUGAAUGUACAUUGAACCAAACAAAAUGAGAACAAAUUGCUUUCCAUAAGCUCAAGAAUGUCCAAUGGAAACUCUAUGUUCAAGAUAAACCAUGUUCUAUUUCUCUCAGGCAUUUAGCAUUUUUUUUGCUUUGAUUUGCAUAAUGGUACAGAAUGGGUCGGUAAUUUAAGGAAUUCUUCCUUCAGUAUGCAUUAAUUAUAUGUGUUUUAUGCACAAAGAAGAUUGUGGAACAUUUAGAGAAAUGUUGGUUUCAAACUGAAAAAAAAAGGGCAUCGGGAAAUGUCCAACCCGAGACCUUUUGAGUCGAAAUGUGAUUUAUAGGACGCGCUAUCAAUACCCCAGGAUUAAGGAGCUUCUUGGACCUCUUGUAUAGCACUGUGCUCAGUAGUUGAGAAUGGAAGUGUUAUUAGGAAAACAGAACUUCUGCCAUAGCCAAGUCUCCAUAAUGUUUUUUUUUGUUGGUGGAAAAUAGUGGACAACUGAGCAUUGUACUUUAUUGUGACAAUCAGAAACGUGGCUUUAUUAUUUUAAUACAACCCUAGACCAGUUAAGUGAGCUGAUGGAUGGUUGCUCUGUGUUACUGACCAAGUCACCGCAAAAGAUUUUUGUCCACCCCCCCAUCUUUUCUAAGCAUGAAACAGUGCAAAAUGCCUGUUACUGUACACAUACUAUGCAUUCUCAUUGGCUGGAGCAUGUUGGAAUUUAUUUAAGUAGGACAAUAACUGCUGUCCUCUAAAGGAACGGUUUUAGUAGAUAAUCACUAUACAUACCCUUUUGUAAAUAGGAGCCCUUAAACUCCUUGCCAGUAAUCUUUAUUGGUAGACCAUUAUUAAGUAAAUUAAACUGGUCGAACUAUGCCCCUUAAAUCAACUGAAGAACUGCAGGUUGGGCAGCAAUGGUGUAUAGUGUCUGAAUGGUCAUACUGCCUCUCUAUUGUCCCACUGUUGACAUCUUGGCCCAUUUUCUCCCUCUUGCCCUACUAUAUCAGUCUUGUCCUACUGUUGCUUUCUGCUUAAAUGUCACCAUCUUGGUGCACUCUCGCCAUCUUGGUCCACUGUUUCCCUCGUCCCACAGUCACUAAGAUGGUGACAGGAGAGCAAGAUGGUAACUGUGGGGACAAGAGGGAGACAGUGGACCAAGACAGUGACAUUAAACAAGAAAGCAAGAGUAGGACAAGACAAAGAUAGAACUGUUCAGACAUUAUACACCAUUGCUGUCCAGCCUGUAGUCCCUAAGAAACAGUUAACCAUCUUGUUCACUGCUGCCUUCUUGUCCCACUGUCAUCAUCUUGCUCUACUGUCACAUCUAAGUCCACUGUCUCCCUCGUUCCACUAUCACCACCUUGCUCUUCUGUCACCAUCUUGGGUAACCGUCUCCCUCUUGUCCUACUGUCACAUUCUUGCAAUACUGUCACCAUCUUGGUUCACGGUUUCCCUUUUAUCCCACUAUCACUAUCUUUGUGUGAUAGUGGGAUAAUAAUUGUGUUUAAUAAUGGUUCCUUUCCUGUGUAUCCACAUUAAAACAUAUGGUUAGUAGCCGCCAUAUUGUUUUCCAAGAUAGUCCAUGUGGUGGGCCAAUUGUUCACCAUUUUUGGGUUCCUUUCUAAUAUAAUUACAAAGAGAUCUAUGGGGAUCUUGGGGGGGGGGGGCAUAAAAACUCCAGGCCUCUUGUGGCGAACUAAAGAACCUGAUCUGUAGGGCCCACUCUAUGCACCAUUAGAUAUAAAAUGUGAUUAUGUAAUGUAAGGCCAAGUUAAGGUAGCAUGCCUAAUAUUAACACUGAUUAAAAUACGUUAAUUGGUUUCCCAUACCCGACGGUAAGAGAUCGAGUUUGUUAUAAAGGUUCAACAGGCAAUAUUUUGGGAAAGGUUAUUUUUGCUACCUACAUUUAUUAAAAAUGCAAAAACUUCACUAACACAGAGCUGGAGCCGGCAGCUCUGACACAGUAGAUUUUGCAGAACUGAAGCUCUGUGAAAUAAGAAGAGAAUAUCUCAUACUGUUAGCAUUUGUGUGCCUUUCGUACGUGUAUAAUAUAUGCUAUGUAUAAUGGUCUUCUACUGCCAAUCAGAACCUAUAAUAUAGGGUCCCCGCUCUUCCAGUCAUCUUCAUUUUUUAUUAAAGCAUAACUUCCCAAACUCUUCCUAAAGAAAAGGUUAGUGAAUUAGUGCAGUUAUUCUUUAUGUUUAUAGUGGAUUUCUCAUUGCCGAAUUUAUUUAAAUGGCCACUAUUACUAAUGGAAUUUUCGGGGCGAAUGAAUAUUUUUUUUUUCUAUUGGUUGUCUCCUUCUAGCUUCUACCAAGGGCUUAGCGGUUCUGCUUGCAAAUGAAAGCCUAUGCCACACACCAAUGGCAGACACUGGCACCUUUGGGCAGGGAUCAUUCAGAGACAUCACUAGUAAGUGAUAAAAUCAAGAUGGCAAUUUCUUACAAACCCUAUUGUCAUGCCAAUACAAAGAGAUACUACCAAAUUCCAGUUGGCAUUGGUUUUCCUACUAAGCACAAUUCAGCAGGAAUAGCUCCCUAAAUUAGCUAAUAGCCUGUACAGAGAGAUACCCAAAAUCUAUGCCAAUUUAGUAUUUAUCUCUGUACAAAGCACAACCCAGCAGGGAACUGGAAUGCUAAAGUGGCUAUUUAAUGGACAGUGCCAGUUUCUUUGAGAUUAGAAAAGAUUUUAAAUUUAGCAAAAGGCAUAUAUAAAAAUGUAAGUUUGUUGAGUAAAAGAAUCUAGAAAUCUUUUUUUGAAUUUUCUGCAGAGUGAAACAAUAUUACAUAUUUCUUAAAAAUAUAAGCACUGUAUGUGAUACAAGGGUUUUGCAUACAAAUAAAAAAUUACAGGCACUACAAAGGUUUGUGGUGACUUAGCACAUUAAUUAUCUGCCCAUUUUUUGAAGAAAUCAAACAUUAUUUAUCCAUAAAAUAAAAGUUUUCUUUCCAGUUAAAAAAGGAAAGUUUUGACAUUUAUCAUUAAUUAGUAGGCAGUGAUGUUUAUUUCGGUACGAUAAUUGUUAAUAAAAAAUUAAAAAGAACAAAAAAAUUUGGGAAUUUUGCAGCAUAGCACAUAAUUUAGUAACGAUUUUAAAAGGAAAUAGGAUCUGGAUUAAAUAAAAAAAAUAGUAAAUAUAUAAAAACUUUGAUUUGGCUAAUUCCCGCGAUUCACCGCCGGCGAAUAA